UACGUAGGGCGCAAGCGUUGUCCGGAAUUAUUGGGCGUAAAGAGCUCGUAGGCGGUCUGUCACGUCGGCUGUGAAAACCCGAGGCUCAACCUCGGGCCUGCAGUCGAUACGGGCAAACUAGAGUGUUGCAGGGGAGACUGGAAUUCCUGGUGUAGCGGUGAAAUGCGCAGAUAUCAGGAGGAACACCGGUGGCGAAGGCGGCAUCCUGGACCGGUAUUGACGCUGAGGCGCGAAAGCUAGGGGAGCAAACGGG
rnacentral:rRNA from 1 species